AUUUAAAUAGUUUAAUUAAAACAUUGAUUUGUGGUGUCAAAGAUAUAUUAAAAUAUUUUAAAUA
rnacentral:tRNA from 1 species